rnacentral:lncRNA from 1 species
CACAGGGCUCCUGGAAGGUUGGCACACUCUUCCAUGGAAAGAGAGUCUACGCUGUGGCCAUCAGCGGCUCAACCCACCACGUGUACACGUGUGGCUCUGGCUACAUCAGGGUAUGGGAUGAGAGUGCGCUGCAUGCGGGGGAGAAGGCCCCUCGGGCCCAGCUGGACUUGCAGGCCGUGACUCUCUGGGACUUGGCACCCACCCCCCAGGUCAGGGCACAGCUGACCUCGACGGGCCCCACGUGCUAUUCUCUGGCUGUCUCCUCUGAUGCCCAUAUCUGUUUGGCUUGUUUCCAUGGAUUUGUUGAGAUUUGGGAUUUGCAGAACCAAAUCUUGAUCAGGGACAGGAGGUGAAGACACCAUCCUGUAUUCCUGGGACCUGAGGAGCUACCAGAGGCUGCACCAACACAACUUACAGAAUGAGGUGCUCAGCAUUACCCACGACCCCGGUGAAGAAUGGGUAUUGGCGGGCCUGAGAACGAGUGAUAUCGUGUUCCUUCACACUCGUCGGAAUGAGCAGUUUAGGCCCUUCCAUCCAUCUAGAUAGAGGAGUCUUCAGGUAUCCUGUGCUGUGACGUGUCCUCUGACAACCAGUAUCUGGUCAUGGGCUCUAGCAGCAGUGCCACCAUCUACCAGCUCUUGUAUUAA